UGGGACGUAUCCUUGGUACAAUUCUCCCUCCUACUGAUUGAACUGGAGUCGCUUAUCUCCCUCUACUUGAGACAUCUUCAACAUAGAGGGCGCUGUAGAGCCAGUUUCCUUCAAGCUAUCUUGGAAUCGCCAUUACACUAUCUCAAGAAUCUCAAGUGCAAUAUUGUAUGUUGAUUGCUUCUUGUACUGCUGGAUCAAUUCUUCACAUUUUAAUUAACACUUAGCUCCAGGAACUAAUUGCUUCACAUCAAUAUUCCAGCUGUGUUGGCAGUCUGUGCCUGACAAACUGGAGGUUGAUGUUACAAUGAUCUACACUGUCUGGGUAUGAAGAGACGCGCUCAACCAGGUCAUCAAGUCACCAUUUUCAAUUCAUUAAGUCUACAGAGAACAUGAUCUUCAGAAUACUGCUGUUGCUAAACUUAAAGGCUCAAGUGUAGACAAACCCUUCUGAAGUAUGAAGAAAUGUGGCUCAGUUAAGCUGAAAACUUCAGACCUCAUAUGAAUUGUUUAUUGGCUGCCAACAGACUGUCUGCAUGUUAUGGCCUCUGGGACAAUACCUGGUGCUGGAAAACAAGCAGACGUAGCCCGCUUCCCCAGGACACCCACACAGGACCACGGAAUCGUCACGCUCACCACUCUAGUGUAAUACUCACUGGUUUACAGUCAAAAUAUGUCAUAAAAUGUCGCUUCUAAUAUCAGGCCAGAAUAAAUUAGAGCUUCGUCUCUGCCUGCCUCACAUCUAAACACUCCCAAAUACAGAUGAAGAAAUGUUUGAUCAAACUUACCAUAUUGGUAAUCCUACCAAACAUUCAUACGUGAAGAUCCGGGGUAGAAUAGGUCUUCAGCAACCCAUGCUUGCCGUAAAAGGUGACUAUGCUUGUUGUAAGAGGUGACUAACAGGAUCGGGUGGUCAGGCUCAUUGACUUGAUUGAUACAU